AAGUCGUAACAAGGUUUCCGUAGGUGAACCUGCGGAAGGAUCAUUAACAAUACAUUCUAUCCACACUCGUCUUUGGUGGCUUGCAUUCUCUCUUCUCUCCCAUCCUCUAUCUCCUUCUAUAUUGAAGAGAUAGAGGGGAGAGAUAGAGAGCGUAAGAGCCACCAAUCAAAAGACAAACAUACACUCGAACAUUCAUACAUUUGACAACUAAUGGAGAACCAAAAGUGUCGUUAUUGUCGUGUCUCGGCACAACAAAAACGAUGUUAAAUUCAAACGAAAACAACUUUUAACAAUGGAUCUCUCGGCUCUU
rnacentral:misc_RNA from 1 species